ACUCCUACGGGAGGCAGCAGUGGGAAUAUUGGACAAUGGGCGCAAGCCUGAUCCAGCAAUGCCGCGUGUGUGAAGAAGGCCUGCGGGUUGUAAAGCACUUUCAGCAGGGAGGAAAAGUGAAUAGUGAAUAGCUAUUCACCCUGACGUUACCUGCAGAAGAAGCACCGGCUAACUCUGUGCCAGCAGCCGCGGUAAUACAGAGGGUGCAAGCGUUAAUCGGAAUGACUGGGCGUAAAGGGCGUGUAGGUGGAUAUUUAAGUUAACUGUGAAAGACCUGGGCUCAACCGAGGAACGACGGUUAAUACUGAAUGUCUAGAGUCUGGGAGAGGGAAGUGGAAUUUCCGGUGUAGCGGUGAAAUGCGUAGAGAUCGGAAAGAACACCAGUGGCGAAGGCGGCUUCCUGGCCCAAGACUGACACUGAGGCGCGAAGGCGUGGGGAGCAAACAGGAUUAGAUACCCUGGUAGGCUCU
rnacentral:rRNA from 1 species